GCACUCGUAGCUUAACGGAUAGAGCAAUAGUCUUCGGAACUACAGAUUGGGGGUUCAAAUCCCUCCGAGUGCACCA
rnacentral:tRNA from 1 species